rnacentral:tRNA from 1 species
GCGUCUAUAGUAUAUUGGUCUGAUUACCCUUCGUUGCCAACGAAGAGAGGCGGGUUCGAUUCCCGCUAGACGCU